AUUGAACGCUGGCGGCAUGCCUUACACAUGCAAGUCGAACGGUAACGGGCCUUCGGGUGCCGACGAGUGGCGAACGGGUGAGUAAUGUAUCGGAACGUACCUUUCAGUGGGGGAUAACGUAGCGAAAGUUACGCUAAUACCGCAUAUUCUGUGAGCAGGAAAGCAGGGGAUCGCAAGACCUUGCGCUGAUUGAGCGGCCGAUAUCAGAUUAGCUAGUUGGCGAGGUAAAAGCUCACCAAGGCGACGAUCUGUAGCGGGUCUGAGAGGAUGAUCCGCCACACUGGAACUGAGACACGAUCCAGACUCCUACGGGAGGCAGCAGUGGGGAAUUUUGGACAAUGGGGGCAACCCUGAUCCAGCCAUGCCGCGUGAGUGAAGAAGGCCUUCGGGUUGUAAAGCUCUUUCGGCCGGGAAGAAAUCGUAUCAGCUAAUACCUGGUGCGGAUGACGGUACCGGCAUAAGAAGCACCGGCUAACUACGUGCCAGCAGCCGCCGCCGUAA
rnacentral:rRNA from 1 species